GGAGGAGUGGCCGAGCGGUCGAAGGCGGCGGUCUUGAAAACCGCAGGUCCGAGAGGACCCAGGGGUUCGAAUCCCUUCUCCUCCG
rnacentral:tRNA from 1 species